UUGAGUACUGCUAUACAUUGAGCUCUUCUUCUUCUUCUUGAAAAAAGCAAUUAGCAUAAAACCAGCACCAAACCACAAUGAGCUGAGUUGACCUGUGCUCAGCUUUAGCAUUCUGAUUUCUUUUAUUUUGUUGGAUUUCUUUCUUGGUUCCAAUCUGAUAGUAAGGUGUUUACAAUUAUUGGGUUGGGUGUAAAAAAAUCUUCCAUGUUUAUCCUUUUAGGUUUUUUCUUUUAUCUAUUAUAAUGGAAUUUAAAAUAUUGGGCUUACGAUGAUACCCUUUUAAUCCCGGAAGAACUGUAGUCCAAAAGACAGAUUCACAAGAUGAGAAGGAAAAUGGAUUUCUGAGAGACUUAUAGUAAUUCAGAUUAAGAAACUUUCUUUCCCUACUUGCCAUUUUAAUGUCACUUUUCUUCAGAAGAAGAUUUCACUGAGCUUCCUUGAUACAGGCGAACAGCUUCUGAUAAGGCCUAGUAUUAGCUCAAGGAAAUGGCUGAGGAUCUGGAUCUGAGACAGCAUAAUAAGGGAAAUGCUCAGUGUCUGUCCAAACCUUUGUUAGAAUCCUGGUGAGAUAUGUUUGUUAGAAUAACUGCUGCAAGAGGCAAGGUAUAACAUGCAAAGAGGAUGAGAGCGCUUGUAUUAAGAACUAGAAAUUACUGCUCAGAUUCCCUGGAGAACCUGAAAAAGUCUGUGGACAUCUAAACAAAAGGAAGAAAUGAGAUAACCCAGAGGGCACAUACCUGAGAUGUUUGAAAGGAACAGAAAGUAUCUUUGUGUCUUCAAUGGCUCUUGAAACCAAGUAGCCUGCACUGUUCAGGAGUUAGUGAGAUGGUAAGAAAUACUGACUUGAUCAUAUAAAAAAAGAAGGAAAAUGGAAAAUCUCUGAAAAUCCAACAUUCAAGAAAUGAUUAUUUGCCACACUGAAACAAUGAGAAAAUUGAGGACAAUAUCGAUAGAACUUUAAAAUAUAUAAAUGAAUAUGUUUUAUUUCUAAGAAU